GUCUAUGGCCAUGCCAUCUCGAACAAGCCUGAUCCCGUCUGAUCUCGGAUGCUAAGCAGGGUCAGGCCUGGUUAGUACUUGGAUGGGAGACCACCUAGGAAGACCAGGUGCUAUAGGCA
rnacentral:rRNA from 1 species